UUUUUUUUUUUAGAUGGAAUCUUGCUCUGUCACCAGGCUGGAGUGCAGUGGCGUGAUCUCAGCUCACUGCAACCUCUGCCUCCCAGAUUCAAGUGAUUCUAAUGCCUCAGCCUCUCGAGUAACUGGGACUACAGAAGAUUUCUGAAGCUGUGUGACCUGCCUCCUUGCAACUGCCAGAGCUGCUCAAAGCUCCAGGAUUCCCUGCUGGGCAGCCACAUACCUGCCAAAGCAUCAUGUUCAAGGCUCUCAAGAAACUGCCAUGGAAAGCUUCCCACUUCAGGAAAAAUCCCUUGCAUGACUUAUUCAGAAAUCAUGGAGGCCCAUACAAUUGCAGACCAGAGGAAAAAAAUCUGGCUAUGUUGCUGUUAAAACGCAAUUCAAAGACUCAGGCUCCUUGAGCUCCCUGCAGGGUGAUUUUACUAUUUCCCCAGAGGUAACCCAACUGGAGUCUAUCUGACUGUGCCAGUCCAGAUUUUCACAUUUUGUCUUUUUCCUCUAUCUUGUCACUGGGGAAAACAGCUUGGAGUUUAGGUUCAUGAAUACAACCUCAUUGUUUUGCUUUUUUUCCCUAGUGUCUCAAAUCUUUUCCUGCUUCUCAUCCUCUCCUCAGUUGCCAGUGUGAUUUUUCUACAUUCUCUUGGAUCCUUUCUUCCCAUUUCCCAUACGCAGCACUUGACCAAGAACGUAAAGGUGGGCUACUGGGCCUGGGGGAAAAAGUGUAACAUGUAGUUCCUCCUGCCCAAAUUUAGGGCUCUGUAAUACCAACCUUCUUCAUUCCAUUAGGCAAAGCUCUAAGCUUAUUUUCAGUUUCAGCUCAAACUCAAUUUCCACCAUGGUUUUCCCAGGCAGAUUGUGCCUUCCAGCCUGCUCCUCACGCUUUGUACAAACCUCUCCUGCCCUUCAGCAACCCCUUCAUUGUCAUUGCUCUUUGCCUGUGUGUUUUCCCACAGCAAUAUAAGCUCUGUGGGGGCAAGGAUUUGCUUGUUUUCUUCUUGAUGUUUCCAGGGCCAAGCACAUUCUAGGCAGUUAAUUAAAGCUUGUUGGAUGAGUGAGUCAAACUUUACAUCCCUCUCCAUAAGCAAUUCAAAAAAUCCAAAUCAACAAAACACAGGCAUCCUCUCUCAUUUGGAUACAUCACCAUCUAUCUGGUUAUUUAGAAAUAUUCAAACUUCCAUUUUUUUCAUUUCCCAAAUCCCCAAAUUAAAAAAAUUCAAAGUC